rnacentral:rRNA from 1 species
UACGUAGGGGGCAAGCGUUGUCCGGAAUCAUUGGGCGUAAAGCGCGUGUAGGCGGCUUUGCAAGUCGGAUGUGAAAGCCCACGGCUCAACCGUGGAAGUGCAUCCGAAACUGCAUGGCUCGAGUCUCGGAGAGGAAGGUGGAAUGCUUGGUGUAGAGGUGAAAUUCGUAGAUAUCAAGCAGAACACCUGCGGCGAAGGCGGCCUUCUGGACGAUGACUGACGCUGAGACGCGAAAGCGUGGGGAGCAAACAGG